CUUGACCGACCCCAGCAGCAGCGGGCGGUCCGCCGGACGUCCCUGCCCGUACGUCGCCAACAACGCCUGCGCCUC
rnacentral:antisense_RNA from 1 species